UUAUGGAAUGACAUGAACGUGUCGCAUUGAAGGUUUCAUGAUAGCCGCCGUAUGAACACAUCUGCGAAUCCUACUAAAUUAAAAGUUUUACCAGUUCAGUUUAAAUGAUAAAUACCACUGGCUCAAUCAACCGAUCAAGUUCCUGCAAGGUUUUCAAUUUUUGCAGUUUUGAGCGUUUUAAGGAUUCCUUUUUUCUCUAUUUCAUUAAAUUUGUAUGUUUUGGAAAGUUAAAUAUGCAAAAUUAAUAUCUCCUUUUGAAGCAUUUUACUACUAGAACUUGUUUUUAUAGAUUGAGCAAUAUCAACUUAACGGUGAUGAUACUUCCUUGAAUGCGAUUGCACUAGUGUGUAAAGAUCCUGACGGAGUUCGUUAUGGAGGGAAGGUCACUUCGAAUCAAGGUAUUUGGGGUACUUGGUAUAACAACGCAUCGUGUCACAAUAUCGAUGGAACGCCUGCUUUCCUCACAGCAUUUCAACUACAAGUGCAAGGAAGUGUAGGGUACGCUGACGAUACAGCGGCCAAUUACGUGAAGUUUAAAUGCAGAGACUUUGGGUCUGUUUACAAACCAUUUGAACUUGCUUCCCCACCGGGAUACGGACAUUUUGGACAGAUGGGCGGCUGGAGUGAUAGCUGUCCUCCAAUGUCAGCUAUCUGUGGGAUAAAGACACGCGUUGAACAGCCUUUGACCGAUGGUGAUGACACGGCUCUUAAUGAUGUAGAAUUCUAUUGUUGUGUAGACAAUCCUGAUGUUGGAAAAUAGACCAAACAAUAAACUGACUGUUGAUAAAAC